GACGUAUUUAAGCAGGCGAGGAGCCAGUCUUGGACAGGGUUCGUCUGGUUGGCAGAUCGCCUGACUUCUGGCUGAUGUGGAGAUUGUUGCUGCGCGUUGAAUUGGCUAUCACCUUGAGACUGCGGUGGGAAACCUGUGUGUUGUGCUGCCUCUCGUGCUGGAACGGCUUCUCUGCGUGACGAGCGCUGGUCAUCCGGGGGAAUUUAUCUGACGGCAUUUU